rnacentral:rRNA from 1 species
AACGCUGGCGGCGUGCUUCAUACAUGCAAGUCGAACGAUAAGGUCUCUUCGGAGAUACAUAAGUGGCGGACGGGUGAGUAAAAUGUAGAGAAUCUGCCCUAGAGAUGGGGACAACAGUUGGAAACGACUGCUAAUACCCAAUAUGAGCGUAGUUGAAAUACUAUUCUUGAAAACUCCGGUGCUCUGGGAUGAGUCUGCAUCUGAUUAGCUAGUUGGAGGUGUAAUGGACCACCAAGGCGACGAUCAGUAGCUGGUUUGAGAGGAUGAUCAGCCACAAUGGGACUGAGACACGGCCCAUACUCCUACGGGAGGCAGCAGUAGGGAAUUUUGCGCAAUGGGGGAAACCCUGACGCAAGCAACGCCGCGUGAAUGAAGAAGCCCUUCGGGGUGUAAAGUUCUGUCAGUAGGGAAGAAUAAAUGACUGUACCUACAGAGGAAGCAUCGGCUAACUCCGUGCCAGCAGCUGC